UACGUAGGGUGCGAGCGUUGUCCGGAAUUAUUGGGCGUAAAGGGCUCGUAGGCGGUUUGUCGCGUCGGGAGUGAAAUCAUCUGGCUUAACUGGGUGCUUGCUUUCGAUACGGGCAGACUAGAGGUAUGCAGGGGAGAACGGAAUUCCUGGUGUAGCGGUGAAAUGCGCAGAUAUCAGGAGGAACACCGGUGGCGAAGGCGGUUCUCUGGGCAUGAUCUGACGCUGAGGAGCGAAAGUGUGGGGAGCGAACCGG
rnacentral:rRNA from 1 species